CGGUUAGCUCAGUGGUAGAGCGUCUCGUUUACACCGAGAGGGUCGGGGGUUCGAGUCCCUCACCGC
rnacentral:tRNA from 1 species